CCUACGGGUGGCAGCAGUGAGGAAUAUUGGUCAAUGGACGCAAGCCUGAACCAGCCAUGCCGCGUGCAGGAAGACGGUUCUAUGAAUUGUAAACUGCUUUUGUACGAGGGUAAAUCCCGAGACGUGUCCCCGGUUGAGAGUAUCGGAAGAAUAAGCAUCGGCUAACUCCGUGCCAGCAGCCGCGGUAAUACGGAGGAUGCAAGCGUUAUCCGGAUUUAUUGGGUUUAAAGGGUGCGUAGGCGGUUCGAUAAGUUAGGAGUGAAAUCCCGGGGCUCAACUCCGGCACCGCCUUUGAAACUGUCGGGCUAGAGUUGGGGUGCAGUAUGCGGAAUGUGCGGUGUAGCGGUGAAAUGCAUAGAUAUCGCGCAGAACUCCGAUUGCGAAGGCAGCAUACCGGCGCCAGACUGACGCUGAGGCACGAAAGCGUGGGUAUCGAACAGGAUUAGAUACCCGGGUAGUC
rnacentral:rRNA from 1 species